rnacentral:lncRNA from 1 species
CCUUUGUCUCUUCUGAGUUGCCUUUCAGCUGGUGAUAUUCUUUUGAUAUUGGGAUUUUUUUGAAAUUGACUCAUAGGUCUUGUAGGGGGUGUGUUGAGGAUGGGGGCUGAAUUUCUAGUUGAUGUCUCAGAUUUGUUGAAGAAGGGUUUAUUGGUGGAGUAGUUUGUAUGAUUGGGUUUCUGGUUUUUGAGAUUUGAAUCAU